rnacentral:rRNA from 1 species
CCAAUAGCGUAUAUUAAAGUUGUUGCAGUUAAAAAGCUCGUAGUUGAAUUUCGGGAUUCGUCCAUUGGUCAGGCUUAACUGUCUGUACUGGUGUGUCGGAUUUCUACCUUCUGAAGAACCUUUAUGCCAUUAAUUUGGUGUGUUGGGGAAUCAGGACUGUUACUUUGAAAAAAUUAGAGUGUUUAAAGCAGGCUAACGUCUGAAUACAUUAGCAUGGAAUAAUGAAAUAGGACGGUACGGUUCUAUUUUGUUGGUUUCUAGGAUCGCCGUAAUGAUUAAUAGGGAUAGUUGGGGGAAUUAGUAUUCAAUUGUCAGAGGUGAAAUUCUUGGAUUUAUUGAAGACUAACUACUGCGAAAGCAUUUGCCAAGGAUGUUUUCAUUAAUCAAGAACGAAAGUUAGGGGAUCGAAGACGAUCAGAUACCGUCGUAGUCUUAACCAUAAACUAUGCCGACUAGGGAUUGGACGAUGUUAAUUUUUUAAUGACUCGUUCAGCACCUUACG